rnacentral:rRNA from 1 species
AACGUAGGAGACAAACGUUAUCCGGAGUUACUGGGCGUAAAGGGCGUGUAGGUGGUAUCGUAAGUCUGGCGUGAAAUUUCUCGGCUUAACCGAGGCAGGUCGUCGGAUACUGCGAGGCUAGAGGACGGUAGAGGCGUGUGGAAUUCCGGGUGUAGUGGUGAAAUGCGUAGAGAUCCGGAGGAACACCAGUGGCGAAGGCGACACGCUGGGCCGAUACUGACGCUGAGGAGCGAAAGCGUGGGGAGCGAACAGG